ACACAAACUGGAUUUUGAACUCAACCAAAGAGUUUGACUAUGCAGUCACAUAGCAGAUCACUUGACGGCAAUUUUCAAUCACAUCUGAAUGACAGUCCAUUGCACGGGCGAACGAGGCUGCAUAAAAAUGGCAUCUCUCUGGAGAAGCGCUUCUCCGAGGCUGUGGAAACAAAUAAUGGCCUUAAUCGUCUUGCUCUUGCGCAACAGGCUUGUUACCAAUGCGGACGAAGACCAUUUCAACGCAGAGCUCUCACGCCAUCUAUCUAUCUCUGUUGUAUAAUUGUAGUCGUGGUGGCGGAGGUUUGGCUACCUGUCUCAAGCCAGCAGACAGAUGUCAACCAUGCAGUAUGGAUACCACUGGCAGCCUCCCAUUUCUCUCCCUCCAGGUAUUGACCUCUUCCUGGUUGCGGUGCAUGAGCUAGGCCAUGCUCUGGUUCUGGGGCACUCUGAUGGCUCCCCUUUACCAGUACAUGGACACAAAGAUCUUCUCACUCCCAGAGGAUGAUAGGAAUGGAAUACAGAAGAUAUAUGAUACUGGCGUUUUGAUGAAGAGUUUCGCACCGGUGACAGCGACUACCCGAAACCUGUCUCCAGGUGGGGCAAGGUCCCAUCCUCUGCUACCACCGAAAUAUACUCCUGGGCUACAAUAUCCGGACCCCUUCAACAGCCGGUAUGGGGCAUGGAACCCCGCAGAUCCCCUACGACUGGAAUACCGACAUAAUCUACCC